rnacentral:rRNA from 1 species
AAUGAACGUUGGCGGCGUGGAUUAGGCAUGCAAGUCGUACGAGAAUCGUAGCAAUACGAGGAAAGUGGCGGAAGGGAGAGGAUUACGUGGGAAUCUACCCUCAGAACUGGGAUAGCGGCGAGAAACUGCCGGUAAUACCAGAUAAUGUCUGUGGACCAAAGGUGUGAUUCCGUCUGGGGAUGAGCCCACGUCCUAUUAGCUAGUUGGCAGGGUAAUGGCCUACCAAGGCAAUGAUGGGUAGCGGGUGUGAGAGCAUGACCCGCCUCACUGGGACUGAGAACUGCCCAGACACCUACGGGUGGCUGCAGUCGAGAAUCUUCGGCAAUGAGCGCAAGCUUGACCGAGCGACGCCGCGUGCGGGAUGAAGGCCUUCGGGUUGUAAACCGCUGUCGUAGGGGAGCAAGAGAUGAGGGUACUCCCUCUGAUUUGAGCGAUCCUAGGAGGAAGGACGGGCUAAGUUCGUGCCAGCAGCCGCGGUAACAC